AAUCAGUACAGCUGACUUCCAAUCAGCUAGUUUCGGUCUANCCCGAAAAAGAAUA
rnacentral:tRNA from 1 species